AACCGUUAGGUGAACAAACCUAUUAUACUCUGUAGCAACAAGUUGCUAGAGUAUAAAAAUAUUGUUUAUCAAAAAGAAUUAGAAUAAACCUCAGAGCAGUGAAGGGUAUAGAGGCACUAUGUGGGCGUAACCGUGAGAACUCCUUAUACAUAUGUAUGUGCAAAACUAACAUCAAUUCAAAUAAAGCUAUUAGUUGCAUUCUAGAGCGCGCGUGGUGUUGAGCUCAGUGUUUACUUCAAAAUGCCAAGUUGUUCGGUAGCGAUUUGUAUACAUGUAAGUGGAAUUAUGAAACCCUGUGGAAUAAACACUAUUAUGAAAAAAUAUAUAUUUUUUUUUAUUUAAUAAAAUUAUGAAAUUAGUAAAGUCCUUCUCAGUUAUGGCGAGACCAGGGAAAUAGGGAUUCAUUUUUAUAUGGAGGAUAUAAUAGAUUCCAGUUUAAAUUGAAUAGGUACUCAUACCUAAGGUAGGACAACUGUCAGCUAUAAAAAAUAAAGUAGUGCAUCAAAGCUACGCUAUGGCAGUACGAAGUUCGCCGGGUCAGCUAGUAUAUUAUAUUGUUAUAAUAUAUCCAUUUAUUCCCCACACUUUAAGUUACGCAUCAUAUUCCAUACGCUUUCCAACACUUAACUUUCUCAAUCUCUAUUUCUCCUUAUCCGUUUAUACUGAACAUUUAUUUUAUCUCCCACUCCACCUGUAACGACAUAUGUUCAGUUCAAAUUUUUUGGAGUCAAGAAGGUCCCUCGUAAUGAACGGAAAUAUAGAUAAUAGGUGAUUAAUUAGAGAAUUUUUAAUCGACUUUCAUCGAGAAAAGUUCAGUUGAUGAACAAAUCGAUAAGAUAAGGGGAUGUCGAUGGGAUUCUUCAAUUAAGACUUUCUAUAAUAAACUAGCAACACUUUUGUGUUGGUCGAACAAUGCGUUGUAUUUUAAUGAAAAUAAACUUCCUGACGUUAACAGUGAAAGUAUAAAUGCAACAUGCAACUACCGAUUUAUUUUUGUGAAAAUUUAAAUUUGAAGAUAUUUUUUUGUCAAAAUAAAUUACGUGACAGUGCAAUUAAUAGCACAAUUACAAAACAUUUAAAUUUAGGGGAUGAAGCGACAUUAAAAAAGGUGCUGAACAAUUAUCGAGACAUAUAUUAUGAAGAAGGAAGCAAUUUACCGUCUACUAGUAAAAUACAACAUAGGAUUAGAACUAAGAAAGAUUUGCCAUUUUAUGCCAAACUUAUAGAUUCCGAAAUAGACAGACAAACAAAUGUAUAAUAUAAUUGUUCCGAGCAACAGUCCUUAUAAUUGACCUUUAUGGGUCGUACCAAAGUUUAUUGACAAUAGUGGCGAACAAAAGUGGAGUAUUGUAAUAGGUGACAGAAAGUUAAACGAACAGACGAUCGACCACAAAUUUCCAAUUCCACUACGAGUUUAAUCGUAUGCCCUUUGGGUUAAAAAGAGCUCCCGUGACGCUUCAUAAACUAAUAAAUCAUGUUUUAAGAGACUACGUUUAUAAAAUUUGUGUGGUAUACUUGGACGAUAUUGUACUUUUUUAUGUUAUAGAACAUACUGACUUCAUAAUGAAAAUCAUUAAAAAAUUUAGUUAUAAGUGAAUCAGUUAAAAAACCUAACAUGAAACUGCAGAGCUGGAAAAUUGUUUCUUAACGAGUACGAUUUUGAUAUUAUUUAUAGGUAAAGGUAAAGACAACACGGUAGCAAAUAGUUUAAGCAAAUACAUAAAGAAUGAGAAUUGCAAAGCCGCAAUCGUAUUUAAUAAUGAAAAUACUCAAAACGAUAAUAGUGGAGAACAGAAAAAUCGGUUAACUAUUACAAAAAUCAAGUCUAUCUUAAUUUUGGUGAAACCGAAAAAUAUCUUGUAAAAAUUGUACACAAAAAGUGUCAAUGACAUAUUGUUGUAACAGUAAAAAUCAAAUUUAUGGAAAUAAUGGGAGAAGUACUGGUAGAAAAAUGUCUAAUAUGCAUUUUUGUGACACGACGAACUUUUUCUUAAAUUCCGAAACAUAAACACCAGCGAUCUUGGCAGCUUUGAAGCACCGUAUAAAAUUUUAGGCAAAAUGCGAAAACUGAUGAUUGAUAACGAACACUGCAUAUUGCACAUCGCAGUUAAAUUAUUUUUGGAAGAGGAAAAACUUGCGAUUCAUGUACACACCCCAUGGCACAAAACGGGUAACUUUGACAUCGAACGCCUACACGGUACAUUAAAUGAUCAUUUGAGAAUAAUAUAGGCAUAUAAAAGCAAUAAGACAGAAGACUUAAGAGAAAAACAGUUCACAAUAUUUAACAGUUAAUUUUAUAAUAACACAAUACAUUAAACAACAAGAAUGAGGCCGAUUGAUGUUAUAAAUAACAAGCAAGAAAGGGCUAAGUUCGGAUAUAACCGAACAUUAUAUACUCUCGCAAAGUCAAAUGGUAUACUCGUUUCA